ACUGUUUUUUUUAUUUGAUUUGAUUUGAUUUAUUCCUAGGUAGGUUUUCUGUGUAUGGAUUAUCUGACUUUCCUCUCUGACAUCUCGUUGUGAAUUCCUCGGCUGUAUGUGGCAAAUGUAGACGGUUGCACCUGGGGUGCAGGGUUUGUGGGCCCCAACUGACAAAGUACUUCCUUGACCCACACUUCUUCUGGCCUUUGGGUUUGCGAAGUGUUCAUGCACACAGUGCAGAGAAUCUCAUCAUCAGAAGUGUCAGAAUCUCUUGGUGACUGAGCCUCAGGGGAUAAAGGAACGGAAGCCGUGCUCCAGACCAAAGACAAAACGGA